CAGCAGCCACGGUAAUACAGAGGAUGCAAGCGUUACCCGGAAUGAUUGGGCGUAAAGCGUGCGCAGGCGGUUAGAUAAGCCAGAUGUGAAAUCCCCGAGCUCAACUUGGGAACUGCGUUUGGAACUGUUUAACUAGAGUGCGUCAGAGGGGGGUGGAAUUCCGCGUGUAGCAGUGAAAUGCGUAGAGAUGCGGAGGAACACCGAUGGCGAAGGCAGCCCCCUGGGAUGACACUGACGCUCAUGCACGGAAGCGUGGGGAGCAAACAGGAUUAGAUACCCCCGUAGUCCCUGUCUCUUAUAC
rnacentral:rRNA from 1 species